rnacentral:tRNA from 1 species
UGAAUAGCUCAGUCCACAGAGCAUGAGACUCUUAAUCUCUCAGGGUUGUGGGUUCAAGCCCCAUUGGGAGAA